UCUGUAUUCCUCUUCUCAAGUCUUCUGCUCAGUCUCCCCACAUCAAGUCCACAAGAUCAUGGCCAUGGUGUUGACUGCUGCAAAACUUCCUGAAUGCAGGUGCA